CCUGUGUAUGUGUGUUGGGGGGUGUCUGGACCCUGUGUGUGUGUGGUCUCUGACCCUGUGUGUGUUGGGGGGGGGGGGUCUGGACUGUGUGUGUGUGUGUGUGUGUGUGUGUGUGUGUGUAGGGGACCUGAUGGUGACCCUAGUUGCAGGAGGAGGAGCCCCACGCACGUGUCUGGCCAUAGCCGGUGGCACCCAUGGGCCUGGCGUCAGACCCUGCUAGUCACUCGACCUCUCAGUGCCUCGGUUUCUCCAUCUCUGAGGUGGGUGUGAUAACAGCACCUGUUCUGUAGACCUGUUAGGAGACAGCAGCAGCUAACACAUGCAGGAACACCUGGGACAGAGUGUCAGCUUGCUGUGAAGACCAGCCUUCAUCCUCAUGGCAGCAGCAGGCCGCAGGCUGCCCCUGGUGGCCUGGGGUCCCCUGCAGGGCUGCUGGAGGACUGGCCCAGAGCCGUGCCGUUGCCCAUGAGUGACAGCUGCUCCCGCUGGUCACUUUAAAGGACGGGCAGUGGGCAGGGCCCAGGCCCAGCCCUGUGGAUCCAGUCGGCAUGGCCUGCCCUGUGUACCCAUGCCCCUCUUGCUGUGUCUGUCCCCCCGUCCCCAGGGGAGGGGGUCUGGGCUGUCCCCUGCGUGUCUGCAGCUGAGGGUGGGCUGGCCCAUGCAGGGCAGAGGUGGGGCCUAGCCCUCGACUGCUCACCUUGAUGCUGUUCCCUGAGCCCCAUCUGGGAGCAAGGAUGGGGGAACUCGAGUCCUCAAAACAAGACGUUUCCCCUCCCUUGGACCCCUGAGCCCAGCAGUGGGGUCAGUAUGUGUCUGAUGGUGGAUCUGAGUGAUCUCCGGGUGCUCAGUGGAGGGCAGACCCGGCAGCCUCCAGAUAGGAGAUUCACAGGGGGGCCACCUGUGUCUCCUGUAGUUGGACAGGGUGUGGGGCACCUGGAGCCCUCUCUUCCUGUGGGUGAGAGGGGGACACUUGGAAAAGCUAGAGCUGUUCUGGGCAAACGCUCAGCUAUCUCCUGAGGCAAGUGCACACCCACCCCAGGACCAGUGACUUCAGGAGUCGGAGGCCCCUCGAGAGCAGAGUGAGCAUGCACACAUGGUGAGUACACCUCCCAAAUGUCAGUCCCGUGGCGGAAGCAGGGUGCCCACAGCACGACCUUGACAGGCAAGCAGGCCCGUGAUGGUGGGAGUGGGGGAGGUGGUUACUCUUGGGGAUGGCGACUGAAAGGUGUUUAGACUUCUCAGGUGCUGGAACUUUGUACAUCUUGGUCUGGGUGUGGACAGCAAAGUUCUCAGUUUAUAAAGCUGUGCUCUCAGCAUAUCUGUGCUUUGCUCUGUAAGUGUGACACUCGAGAAACCAAAGUGCCCUGACCGAGGGGCUGCAGUCCUGGCCUGCAUGAGAUGCCUGCAGGCCUGGGUUGGCCCAUCCCGCCUGGGCCUCAGUUUUCCCAGCUAGAGCAGGAGGUUGCACACAGCUGGGGAGGCCUGAGUCCUGCCCACAGGCACGUGCAUACUGACCUUGACCACGCAGCUCCUGUGGCCCCUGCCUCGGGGCUCAGGGUUGGGAAAUCGCUUGCUGACUCACUUCGCUCGGCUCACCCAGAACCAGCUGGGGCCUGGUCACACUUCUUCCAUUUGGAGGGGACAGAGGGGGAAGGGCCUCCACGUGGUGGGCGGGAGUUGGGGGAGGCCGUCCCCCAGCCCUGUGGCUGCCCCGGCUGGUGCUCCUGGGGGCCCUGGGGGCGCCAGCUCAGGGCCAUCUGAGUCCUUCUCAGACCCCUCCGUGCCGCACAAAGGGCCCUCUGACCACCGCUGAAACUUGUCAUCACAGUGGUUCAGAAAAUCUCAGUCAUUUAUUAAUACUUGGCUCAAGAAAACAGUGACUGUUGAAUGCCCUCUGUAUCAGACUAUGCUGAAGACAGCAGCCUUCAAACCCCCCCACACUGGGAGCCAGCCUAGGGGUGGACAGCUGGUACACCUCCUUCCACAGGAGAGUAAAUGGAGGCCGCUGGCUCAGGCUGCCCGAUUCCGGUGCCACGGCAACCUCCAGCGUCACGUGCUAGGUGAUCACGGAUUCUUUCCUUUCCUCACUUUUAUUGUAUUUGAUGUUUUUUCAUCCCUUUAUUUGUUCAUUCAUUUUAAACAGCUUCAUUGAGUUUUAAUUCACAGACUACACCAUGCACCCACUUAAAGGGUCACGUCGACGGUCUUGGUUUACCCAUGGACAAGAGCAGCCAUCACUUGGUCCAUUGUGGGGCAUUUUCAUCACCCCAGAGAGAAGCCUGUGCCGUUUACUGACGUUCUUCCCCGCCUGCCCACGGGCAGAUGUGCCUGUAAAGCUCAGUGUGGUGGUGAUCUCUAACCAGGGCUCCCUCUGGCUUGGUGCGCUGACCUGUGGCCCAGGCCGCCCCCGCUGGUGGCUCCUGCCCCAGCUCCACUCUGCUGCUUGUCUGCCUGGCUCUGUUACCGAAAGGCCACUCAGAGGCAGGCAUGUGGGCCUGGGCCUCCACGUGCCCAGACCUGCCUGUGCCUUAGAGUCUCCCUGGAGCCACUGAGAACAUGAAUAUAAACUAGGAGACAAAGGGGGUGCCUCAUCUUGACCAUUGGAGACUCACCAGGGCCCCAGGUCACAGCACAGUUUGCCCUGAAAUCUCCCGUGGUGAGCGUGAUGCUCCACCCAGCCUGGGGCUCCAGGGACCACAUCCCAGGGUAAAAUAGUUACUGUGGCCCAAUGUGAGUCCAGAAGAGGUCCUCAAAUUUGCUGCACGUUGAGCUAGUGAAGGAGCAGUUAUUCCUAAGCUUCUCCGUUUGUAGGUCUGUUGUCCACUGUGAAACCCAGGUCACUGCUUCUGUGGGUCCAUUGCAGCCGCGGGGGCCUCACCCUAGGGGCCCCAGGCAGGUGUUCGCCCCAGCUGCUCCCCCGCCCCACGCACCCCUCCAGGCUCAGAUGGGCCUCAACCCUGCUCUCAUUGCAGCGGUGUUAUUUUGAUUAAACAUUUAUUUUUCAAACCUGUAGAAAUCACUGUCUUUGGCCAAAACAGACAUGAUUUAUGUUUUUUAAAUCAGCUCUGCUCUACUCAAAACAUAUUUAAAAGAUGGGCAAAGUCAGUCUGGACUGUUUAGGUGACUCCGCGGCGACUCUAGGAAGAAGCUCAGGGACCAAGAGCUGACCCAGGGCCUGGAGGGUCCUUUCUGAGAGGGUCACAGGCAGUGAGUGAGAGGGUCCAGCCGAGAAGCCGGUCCGCCGCGGCCGCUGCAGGCCUGGCCUCCCGCGAGACGCACGCAGGGCGGGGCGGCGUCGGGCCGGCCUCCUCAGACCCGUCUGCCUCCCCCUGGAUCCCCGCGACCCUCCCUCACCGCCCCUCACCGCCCCUCACGUGACUCUGUCGGCUGAACCCGCCCUCAUGCUUCCUGCUGACCUGGCGAGAAUGGGCCAGAUUUUCUGUUCCUGAGAGUUUCCUUGGAUACCAGGGAAUUCUAGCAAAAGUUUGGGGUCAGCACUGGAAUAUUUCUCUCCAGCCGCGCUGAGUUCCCGAUGACACCGCCUCAGCCCAUCUGCAGAGACAAAGUGCACCUCCAGCUGCUGUUCACAGCAGCACCUUCAGCUGCAAGAAUUAGGAUCUCUGCUCCCAACGCCCAGGCACAGCUUCUCCAUCCCUUGAAGGAAGCUCCACACUGUUCUCCAGAGUGGCUGUUCUCGAUUUACAUUGCCAGCAUCAGGGUUCUUCUUCCCAUAUAACGAAGAUCCUAAAAAGUACAGAGAAGCAAGAGUCAGAGGAGAACAAAAAUGCAGCAAGAGGUGGUGCAAACAAAUGCAAAAUCCAAGAUAUGUAAUCCUGUAGAAGCAGGGCUCUACAAGUUUGAAGCCCGGAAACUGGAUUCCGGAAUUCUUUACAUUGGGCACAUUUUCCCUAAGAAACUGCCUGAGAAGCCACCCACCAGGUCUAUUUGCUUUGAUUUUGAAAUGGAGAAAAGAAUCAAACAGCAAGAAGAGAGGGUGUUGGAGGAUAAACACUUUGAAUUUAUGUGAAUUAAAUUAAAUACCCUUCUUGUAUCUAGUUAGGUGUUCCUGAAAAGAAAGAAACUCCACUCACUGACCCCCAGGACUCCUGCCUUUGUUGGGAAGAAAAGGACCCAACACUCACCCAAGAAGAUGAGGACAAGGAACAGUCAGUAGUGAUAAGAGCCCAACAAUGGCCCCAUGCCGGAGCACCUUUGAAGCCCAAAAUCCCAGUGAGGAGAACCGUGGAAAUGCGCCCUUUCUCUUUUGAUUCAAAAAAGUCCCUUACAGAAGGAGAAGAAAAUAAAACAACUGCAGAAAGGGGAGGUGCCCAACGUCUAGGCUCGCUCUUCACCUCAUUUUACACCAUUAACCUGCAGGAGAACAUGAAGAGCAGGGCUCAGGCUGAGCCUUCUGCGUGUUGCCUGGCAGAAGAGGCGCCUGAAGGCGCAGACUUGGAUCCUCUUCGCUCCCCGGCCACAAGGGCUCCUCCUGGGUUGAUGGGCAGAGCAGCUCUGGUUCCCGCCGGCGUCCGCAGCUGGGUCUGGCGGCGGAGUCGACUAGAGAACCUGGGUGGUACCCACCAGUGAAGGGCCCUCACUCAAGGUAGUUUGUGCGGCUUCCCUCCUCCUCCUCUGUUUUAUAAGUGUCAGACUAUAUCGUUGAUUUACUUUGUAAUUUAUUCACUUUAAGUGUAUUUUUUAC